rnacentral:rRNA from 1 species
UAGGGAAUAUUGGGCAAUGGACGCAAGUCUGACCCAGCCAUGCCGCGUGCAGGAAGACGGCGCUCAGCGUUGUAAACUGCUUUUAUCUGGGAAGAAAAGACGUUCUGCGGAAUGUUGUGACGGUACCAGAGGAAUAAGCACCGGCUAACUUCGUGCCAGCAGCCGCGGUAAUACGGAGGGUGCAAGCGUUGUCCGGAUUUAUUGGGUUUAAAGGGUGCGUAGGUGGCUUUUUAAGUCAGACCUGAAAGUGGGCCGCUUAACGGCACAGGGUGGUUUGAUACUGAAGAGCUUGAAGAGGGUGGAGGCCGCCGGAACGGAUCGUGUAGCGGUGAAAUGCAUAGAGAUGAUCCAGAACCCCGAUUGCGAAGGCAGGCGGCUACGCCCCACUUGACACUGAGGCACGAGAGCAUGGGGAGCAAAC